rnacentral:tRNA from 1 species
GGGGAUGUGGCUCAUUGGUAGAGCACUUGCCUAGCAUGCGUGAGGCACUGGGUUCGAUUCUCAGCACCA